ACGCUGGCGGCGUGCCUAAUACAUGCAAGUAGAACGCUGAAGGAGGAGCUUGCUUCUCUGGAUGAGUUGCGAACGGGUGAGUAACGCGUAGGUAACCUGCCUGGUAGCGGGGGAUAACUAUUGGAAACGAUAGCUAAUACCGCAUAAUAGUAGAUGUUGCAUGGCAUUUGCUUAAAAGGUGCAAUUGCAUCACUACCAGAUGGACCUGCGUUGUAUUAGCUAGUUGGUGGGGUAACGGCUCACCAAGGCGACGAUACAUAGCCGACCUGAGAGGGUGAUCGGCCACACUGGGACUGAGACACGGCCCAGACUCCUACGGGAGGCAGCAGUAGGGAAUCUUCGGCAAUGGACGGAAGUCUGACCGAGCAACGCCGCGUGAGUGAAGAAGGUUUUCGGAUCGUAAAGCUCUGUUGUAAGAGAAGAACGAGUGUGAGAGUGGAAAGUUCACACUGUGACGGUAUCUUACCAGAAAGGGACGGCUAACUACGUGCCAGCAGCCGCGGUAAUACGUAGGUCCCGAGCGUUGUCCGGAUUUAUUGGGCGUAAAGCGAGCGCAGGCGGUUAGAUAAGUCUGAAGUUAAAGGCUGUGGCUUAACCAUAGUACGCUUUGGAAACUGUUUAACUUGAGUGCAAGAGGGGAGAGUGGAAUUCCAUGUGUAGCGGUGAAAUGCGUAGAUAUAUGGAGGAACACCGGUGGCGAAAGCGGCUCUCUGGCUUGUAACUGACGCUGAGGCUCGAAAGCGUGGGGAGCAAACAGGACUAGAUACCCUGGUAGUCCACGCCGUAAACGAUGAGUGCUAGGUGUUAGACCCUUUCCGGGGUUUAGUGCCGCAGCUAACGCAUUAAGCACUCCGCCUGGGGAGUACGACCGCAAGGUUGAAACUCAAAGGAAUUGACGGGGGC
rnacentral:rRNA from 1 species